GAUGAACGCUGGCGGCGUGCCUAAUACAUGCAAGUCGAGCGAACAGACGAGGAGCUUGCUCCUUUGACGUUAGCGGCGGACGGGUGAGUAACACGUGGAUAACCUACCUAUAAGACUGGGAUAACUUCGGGAAACCGGAGCUAAUACCGGAUAAUAUAUUGAACCGCAUGGUUCAAUAGUGAAAGACGGUUUUGCUGUCACUUAUAGAUGGAUCCGCGCCGCAUUAGCUAGUUGGUAAGGUAACGGCUUACCAAGGCAACGAUGCGUAGCCGACCUGAGAGGGUGAUCGGCCACACUGGAACUGAGACACGGUCCAGACUCCUACGGGAGGCAGCAGUAGGGAAUCUUCCGCAAUGGGCGAAAGCCUGACGGAGCAACGCCGCGUGAGUGAUGAAGGUCUUCGGAUCGUAAAACUCUGUUAUUAGGGAAGAACAAAUGUGUAAGUAACUAUGCACGUCUUGACGGUACCUAAUCAGAAAGCCAAGGCUAACUACGUG
rnacentral:rRNA from 1 species